UUCCGUAGGUGAACCUGCGGAAGGAUCAUUACCGAGUGCGGGAACCCAGUCGGGUCCCAAUCUCCCACCCGUGUCUACCACACCUAGUGUUGCUUUGGCGGGCCCACUCCUCCGGUGUUCCGCCGGGGGGGUCGUCCCGGGGCGCGGUGUGCCCCCGGGGCCCGUGCCCGCCAGAGGCACUCACUGUGAACGCUUUUGUGAAUGCGAGGAUUGUCUGAGUGACGAAAUGCAAUCGUUCAAAACUUUCAACAAUGGAUCUCUUGGUUCCGGCAUCGAUGAAGAACGCAGCGAAAUGCGAUAAGUAAUGUGAAUUGCAGAAUUCCGUGAAUCAUCGAAUCUUUGAACGCACAUUGCGCCCUCUGGUAUUCCGGGGGGCAUGCCUGUCCGAGCGUCAUUGCGAACCCUCAAGCACGGCUUGUGUGUUGGGCCGCCGUCCCCUCGUUUGGAGGGGACGGGCCUGAAAGGCAGCGGCGGCGUCGCGUCCGGUCCUCGAGCGUAUGGGGCUCUGUCACGCGCUCAAGGAGGGGUCCGGCCGGGGCCAUAGCCUCUGAAGGUCAAUUCUUCCAAGGUUGACCUCGGAUCAGGUAGGAGUACCCGCUGAACUUAAGCAUAUCAAUAAGC
rnacentral:rRNA from 1 species